UACGAAGGGGGCUAGCGUUGCUCGGAAUCACUGGGCGUAAAGGGUGCGUAGGCGGGUCUUUAAGUCAGGGGCGAAAUCCUGGAGCUCAACUCCAGAACUGCCUUUGAUACUGAAGAUCUUGAGUUCGGGAGAGGUGAGUGGAACUGCGAGUGUAGAGGUGAAAUUCGUAGAUAUUCGCAAGAACACCAGUGGCGAAGGCGGCUCACUGGCCCGAUACUGACGCUGAGGCACGAAAGCGUGGGGAGCAAACAGG
rnacentral:rRNA from 1 species